ACCACAACCAGUGUGCUCUUGUAUUUCCUGCUAAACCAGACGUCAUAGAACUGUCAUUGCCACUGCCCAAGUGUUCUUAUCUUUGCUUGUUAUGCCUUUAUUUCUUCUCUUUCUUUCUGUGCCAGCUUGGAGAUUCUUUGUCUUGGAUUCCCCUGUUCCAUCUUCCUUUAUAGCCUAAAAAUUAGGUUUGCCACCUGGCAGGUAUUUUACCGUCACAGCCGGUAUUUGAUGCUGUGUAGCCGGUACCGGUAUUUUUCUGUGAGGAUAAAGUUCUGCAAUAUCAGCACUGGCCAACAGGGUGCGUCAUGGUUGCAGGACGUGCAAGAAAGGCACAGUAUGUCCCUGCCCUCUCCACAGAUAGGAUGGAAUCCACAUGGGAGGAGUGGGAGGAGCAGGAGCUACAGGACAAGGAGAUGUAAACAUCAUGGAAGCAUGGCAGCAGGAGUUCUGACAGCAGGUACCUGUGUGUGUUUUCAGCACCCUUUGUGUGUGUGUGUAAGUAGCAGCCUGUGUGUGUAUACAGCAGUCUGUGAGUAUGUAUUCAGCUGUCCGUGAGUAUGUAUUCAGCAGACUGUAUGUAUGUAUUGAGCAGUCUGUGUGUAUGUAUUGAGCAGUCUGUAUGUGUGUAUUCAGCAGUCUGUGUGUGUAUUCAGCAGCCAGUCUGUAUUUAGCCAAUUGUGUGCGUGUGUGUAUUCAGUAGUGUACGUGUGUAGUUUUUUUGACCUCAAAAACAUGUUUGUUAAAUACAGAGAAUAAGCAAACAUAAUAUUUAAAAUAUUGGGACAUAACAGCUCUCUUUUUUGUUGGUGUGAGUUAUUUUUGUAAGCUUGAUCUGUUGUGUACAUUUUAAUGUGCAUGGUAAUAUUGAGGUAGUUUACUAAAAAAGCUUAACUUGCAAUUGAAAAUGACAAAGUAAAUAACAGAAAAAAAUUUAACAAAAAGAUCAAUGCAUUCCAAUAACUGCAGUUAUAUAAAUACAAAUUAAAAUAAUGCAUUACAUUAUCACAAACAAAAAAAUUAUACUCACAAAAAACAACAAUAUAUUUUUCAGGAUUUUCCAAAAUGUGUCCUAGAUCUCUCAAAAAGAUUUACAAAUCCUUAGUACAAAAAUAAACAUGACAUGUUACUUUGAAAAUCAGUCUGUGUGUAUGUAUUCGGCAGUCUCUAUGUGUAUUCGGCAGUCUGUGUGUGUAUUCAGCAGUCUGUGUGUAUUCAGCAGUUUGUGUGUAUGUAUGUGUAAUCAGGAGUCUGUGUGUGUAUUCAGCACACAGACUGUGUAUUUGGCAAUCACUGUGUGUGUAUUUAGCAAUCUGUCUGUGUAUUUAGAAAUCUGUGUGUAUUUAGCAAUCUCUGUGUGUGUAUUUAAAAGUAUCUGUUUGUUUUUAGCAAUCUGUGUGUGUUUGUGUGGGUGGGUGGCUGCCUACCUUAACGUGCCCCUGAGAUGUUAAACUACAAAUAUCCUAGCCGGGUGGCGAGGGAGCGCUGUCCUCAGCUCUUCUUGCUUGUGUACCCUUCUCUGAUUCCGGGAGCUGGAAUAUGACAUCACUCUGGCCCCAACAUUACUAAGUGGUGCGCGAGUGAGCUGAGCUAGAAGAGCUCAGUUCCCUCGCCCCCUCCAUUGAGCGACCACAGAAUCAGCCCAACCAGCAGAGCCAACAAGGAGCCCUGCCAGCUCAACAACAGUCAGGAACAGUAUCCACUCCAGUUCUCCCAAAGGUAAGGAGGCUGGGUGGAUUUUAAACAAAAAAAUAUAUAUAUUAAUAAUUGGUGAGUGAUGAGAAAUUGUGUCUUUCAUUGAGUGUGUUUGUGUCUAUCAGUGUCUGUCUAUCAGAGAAUGUGUGUUUGUGUGUGUGCGUGUGUGAGAGUGUGUUUGCAUCUGUCAUUGUGAGUGUGUGUGUCUAUCAGUGAGUGUGUGUGUUUCUGUCAUUAUGAGUAUGUGUAUGUCUGUCAGUGUGCAUGUGUAGCUGUCAGUGUGUGUCUGUGAGUGAGUGAGUGAGUGAGUGAGUGAGUAAAUGUGUGUGUGUCUGUCAGAGUGUGUCAAAUCAGUGAGGAUGUGUGUCUGUCAGAGAGUGUAUGUCAGUGUAUGUGUAUCUGAAAGUGUGUGUCUAUCAGUGAGUGCGUGUGCCAGUGUGCGUCUGUCAGUGAAGUGUUGGUUAAACAGUAUGUGUGCCAAUGACUGUAUAUGUGUGCCAAUGACUGUGUAUUUGUCAGUGAAUGUAUGUCAGUGCAUGUAUCAAUAAAUGGCCGGGGGGAGGGGGUCUGUCAGUCAAAAAAGUGGCUUGACACGCAUUGGUGGGUCAAAUUUAGAUUAAGGGGGUGCCAGGAUUUAGUUGUGCCUAGGGUAGCACAAAUUCAAAAUACACCACUGCUCACACAGCAGUAUGCACACACAGUUAUACACAGUUAGACAAUAACACAUUGCUAUACAUACUCUACUAUACACACACUCAUUCAGACAGUAUAUACACACACUGCCUCACAUAAAUGCUAUACACACAGUCAGACAAAGUAAACACAUUGUAAGUAGUUUAUUAGUGAUUUAGUGAAUUUUCUCCUUCCAAAUAUUCUCAUUCUCUUGUGUAUGUUGUGUCCUGUGAUGUCACACAUAUAUAAUUAUCUAUUCAAAUUAGCACAGUCUGUAUUUUUUUCCAAAAAAGGUGGCAACCCUAAGCCUAAUGUUAAUUGUAAAGUCUUGAACUAGUUUUCUUCAAUUACAGGGCCAGCCAAUAUGGCCAUUCAAAGAAAAAUGUGUAACCUUCAGUGGAUAUGGUUGCCUUGCUGUUGGAACCCAUAAUGUCAUUCUAGCUCCGACCCUCUAUCACUCUCUCUUGGACCAGACAGAGAUUUAUCUGCAUCACUUGAAAGAGCUUUGUGAAGCAGUCUAAGUUUAGUCUUUACAUUCCAGUAUUAACCUCCAGCUAUUGUCAGGGGUCUGAGGGCGGACCUCCUCCUAGCUGUCGGCGAGCGGCGUCUCCGCUCCGCUGCACGCCGCUCGCGUCCUCCUCCACGCCUCCCAGCGGCGGAUAUUUAUACUUACCUUUCCUGUCUCUCAGUGCCCUGUUGUGGUCUUGUGAUACCUGUAUUGCAGUUUGUUCGUGUUUCUCUCUGGUUACUGAUUAUUUGGCUCGUUAUUCCGAUUUUCCUGUAUUCUCCACUCCUUUGACCUCGGCUUGUUUCUCGUUCUCCCAUUUUCUGGCUCCCUUUACUUGGCUUGUCUCCUGACUAUUCUUAGUGUGCUUAGCCCGGCCACUCUAAGGACCGGUAUAGCAUCCUUCCUCUCUGUGACCUGUUAGCGUGUUAGGUUCCGGAAUCGUGACAUUACAACAGGGCCACCAUGGAACCUGCUGACAUUCCACAGCUGUUAGUAAAUCAGGAGGCUAGAGUGGAUGGUUUAGACCAUCGUAUGGAUCAGUUUGCUCAGGCUUUACAAACCAUACUGGCUCGUACUGCCCACUUGCAACCUGCCGUUCAAGAAGCUGUUACUGCUGUGCCAGAACCCAUUCCCGAUCCAGUACCCGCUCCCUCUCACGUGGUUCACAUGACGCCACCACAGCGCUAUAGCGGUGAUCCAGCAUUGUGUUGUGGUUUCCUCAACCAAAUUGAUAUUCAUUUGGUGAUUAAUCCUCGUUCCUACCCCACUGAUAGAACCAAAAUUGCUUUUCUAAUCAACCACUUGUCCGGGAAAGCUCUAGCAUGGGCUAAUCCCAUGUGGGAGAAUACGUCCCCAAUGUCCUUUGCAGACUUUUUGACAGCUUUUAAACGUACAUUUGAUCAACCCGGCAGGGUUGCUUCUGCUGGCAAAGCUCUGCUUAGGGUCCGACAGGGUAAUAGAUCUGUAGCGCAUUACACUAUUGAAUUCCGCACUCUAGCAGCUGAAGUGGUUUGGAAUAACGACGCCCUCAUAACAGCCUUUCAGGAGGGUUUGGCCGCUUACAUGCUAGAUGAAAUAGCAUACAGGGAAUUGCCGGUUCUUCUGGAUGAUGUAAUAGAUUAUAUCAUUCUUAUUGACAACCGUAUUAGAGAGAGGCGUAGUCAAAGAAGGAUGAAUACACAGGGGUUACCUGCUUUACCCAGUACUACAUUGCUAGCAUUACCUCCCCCUAAUCAACCAUCUCCCAAACCCAUGCAAUUGGGUGCUGUAGGCUUAACUGAAGCUGAAAGAACGUAUCGCAGAAGGGAGGGCUUGUGCCUUUAUUGUGGAAAGAGGGGGCAUCUCUGAAGAAACUGUCCUAGUUUGCAGGGAAACUACAGCACCCAAGGCCUAGAGAGGGGUCGGCCUCGGGGGUUAUGGUUUUUUCCCCUCAGGUGUCCAUCUCCAGACCAUUUAUUACGGUUACUCUUUUGGUCAAUCAAACCACUAUAACAACUAAAGCCUUGAUCGAUUCAGGUUCUGCAGACAACUUUAUGAAUGAGAACUUUGCAAAAACCGCAGCCUUGACUCUAGGGGUAAGGUCUACCCGCUUUCUGAGACAGAAAACCAGGUCAUGGAGGAGUACAUACAGGAAUCCUUACGUAAAGGUUUUAUCAGAAGGUCCUCCUCUCCGGCUGGUGCUGGUUUCUUUUUCAUUGCCAAGAAAGAGGGCGAUUUGAGGCCAUGUAUAGACUACAGGGGUCUGAAUAAUAUAACAAUUAAAAACACUUAUCCUAUCCCUCUCAUCACUGAGUUGUUUGACCAUGUUAAAGGUUCUAGAUAUUAUACUAAACUAGACCUCAGGGGGGCUUAUAACUUGGUUCGUAUAAAAGAGAAUGAUGAAUGGAAAACAGCGUUCAAUAAACGCAGUGGGCAUUACGAGUAUCUAGUCAUUUUGGACUGUGUAAUGCUCCUGCUGUGUUUCAGGACCUCAUAAAUGAUGUCCUUAGAAAUUUACUGCAUGUCUGUGCCGUGGUUUAUCUUGAUGAUAUACUUGUAUAUUCUCCUGAUUUGGAGUCACAUCAUGCCCAUGUGAGGAUGGUACUUAAGAGAUUGCUGCAGAACGGUCUUUAUUGUAAAUUAGAGAAAUGUUUAUUUGACCAAAAAUCUGUCCAAUUCCUAGGGUAUGUCAUUUCUGAACUGGGAUUCAGCAUGGAUCCUUCAAAAUUAGAAGCCAUAUUGUCUUGACCUCUUCCCCAAGGCCUUAAGGCAAUACAGCGAUUUAUAGGCUUUGCCAAUUAUUAUCAGAGGUUUAAUAAAAACUUCUCAUCAGUUAUUUCUCCUAUCACGAAACUGACUAAAAAGGUUUUGCACCCCAGGGUUUGGACUCCUGAAGCCGUUAAAGCCUCCGAGACUCUCAAAAAGGCAUUUGCCACUGCCCCUGUGCUACACCAUCCUGAUCCUUCCCUUCCCUUUGUUAUGGAAGUAGACGCUUCAGAAUCAGGUGUAGGAGCCGUAUUAUCACAAAGACUAUCACAUACCGAACCCCUCCAUCCCUGUUGUUACUUUUCUAAAAGGCUGUCUGAUUCGGAAAAGAAUUACGACGUCGGGAACAGGGAACUAUUGGCUAUUGUGAUGGCUUUUAAAGAAUGGAUGUACUUAUUAGAAGGAGCUAGACACAAAAUCCUGGUUAUAACUGAUCAUAAGAAUCUCUCCUAUAUAGCAGAUGCUAAAAGCUUGUCCUCUCGUCAAGCCAGAUGGUCUUUAUUUCUUUCACGCUUUCAGUUCAUUAUCACAUAUAGGCCUGGAUACCGUAAUGUCAAGGCUGAUGCUAUCUCCAGACAAUACGAACCUUUUGUACCUACAUCUAAGAUAAUAGCUGCUACCCGUUUAGUUAUUUCGUCUCUUUUCCUUGAUGGAAUCAAGAUAUACCAAUCCCAAGCACCCUCUGAGACACCUGUUGGUAGAUUAUACGUGAAAGAAAAAGAUAGAAAGAAAUUGUUAGCUUUAUUUCACACCGCCAAAACGGCUGGUCACCCAGGGGUUACCAAAACAUACAAGUGUCUCCUUCAACAAUUUUGGUGGCCCUCACUUAAGCAAGACGUAGUAGAUUAUGUGCAGGCUUGUCGUGUUUGCACACAGUGUAAGUCCGCUAAUGUUAAACCCCCGGGACUCCUAAUGCCUCUAUCCGUGCCCAAGAAUCCAUGGACCCACUUAUCCAUGGACUUCAUUGUAGGUCUUCCUUCAUCUGAUGGACAGACAGUAAUUUUGACUGUGACUCAGGGCCGGAUUGGCCCACCGGGAUACCGGGAAAUUUCCCGGUGGGCCGUCGGCACCUGGGUCUGCUGUAGGCCACUGGCAGGGGCGGGCUGGGCCGGGGGGCAGGGAGGCAAUUGCCCCCCAGGCCGCCCUAAAUUCUUGUAAGACCGGCCGCGGCGGGCCGGCCCUUUAAAUACUGCAGCCGCCUGAACGCUCUGUUAAGAGGCUCAGGCGGCUGCAGCUUCUCCCCUCCCCUGUAGCGUGGCCGAGCUAAACUCCGGUCCGCGGUGGCCGGCCGGAGUGAUAGGAAGGUGCACGCUGAGUGUGCAAUUCCUGUCAGUCCGGCCGGUUACAGGAAACAGAAACUCCACGUGGAACAGGAGUUUCUGUUUCCUGUAACCGUCCGGACUGACAGGAAGUGCACACUCAGAUGAGGGGAGGGGGGGAAUAAAAAGAGGGGGGAAUAAGAUGAGGGGAGGGGGAAUAAGAAGAGGGGAGGGAGGGGAAUAAGAAGAGGGGAGGUGGGAAUAAGAAGAGGGGAGGGAGGGGAAUAAGAAGAGGGGAGGGAGGGGAAUAAGAAGAAGGGAGGGAGGGGAAUAAGAAGAAGGGGCAGCUCUAUAGGACAGGGGCCAAGACAGGGAGCUCUUUCACACUAUGCGCGCACACUCACACAAUGCAUCCCUAUACAUACACAGAAACACAACAUGCUUCCCUUACACACAGAGAAACACACAAUGCAUCCAUUACACACACACACACAAUGCAUCCAUUACACACACACACAAUGCAACCCUUACACACAAAGACAAUGCAUCCUUUGCACACAUACACAGAAACAGACAAUGCAAACCCGUACACACGCAUGCAAACACACACACACUUCUUUUCUUACAUACACACAGAAACACAAUGCAUCUCAUGCACACACAUACAGACACACACCUUGCAUCCCUUAUGCAUACAAACACAGAUUCACACAAUGCAUCCCUUACACACAACCAGAAACACAUAAUACAUCCCUUAUACACAAAUACACACUGCUUCCACUACACACAAACACACUGCAUCACCUGCACAAACUGGUAACCCUAAACACUACAUACCAUAAGCACACAUAUUAGAUCCUCUACAAUAACACAUAACACAUCCCCUACACACUCCACUCCCUGUGAGCGAACUCAUGGGUGGGUGGAACUUAUGAGUGGGCCUUAUGGGCAUACUCACCGUCAGGCCCUGGGGCCCAGACCUUGAGCUGUGUAAGGGGCCCCCAAAAAAUGGAGCUGCUUCCAAUUCUCCCAGAACAUUGAAUUUUGUGACCACAGUUGCAAACAGCCUCCAGAGAUCCUGUUCUACACCAGACCAGUGGAGCCAAACUGCAGCCCAUCAUCAUCCUCAUCUGUUGUAAGUAGGCAAUCUAGUAUAUUAUUAGUGACACUAAUCUAUAAUUUACCUCACAUUAAAGGGACACUAUAGCUUAAUGAAGUGGUUCUGGUGUCUAUAGCUGGUCCCUGCAGGCUUUUUAAUGUAAACACACACUGUGUGCAGCACUGGCGCUAGUUCAUAUGGCAGAUCAUAUGGGUGGGGCAUUGUGAUGUGACAUGUGGGGGCAGCAAAUUUUUAUUUUGUCUAGGGCGGCAAAAAUCCUUGCACCGGCUCUGAUCGCAGUGCAAGUGCCCUCUGCCCCUAAUUUACAGUGGCUCACACUCACAACAAGCAGUGCCUGGAGCCGUGAAGGAGCGGGUAUGGCAAAGAACUACUGAUUAGCAUAACAUCAAUAUCCGUUAUAAAACCAGGAAAAGGUGGGCAUGGAUGGUGAACUGAUUUGGUGGUGCAAUGGGCCACUUGACUGGUUUUGCCCCCCAGGCCUAAGGCUGCCAGCCCUCCCCUGGCCGCUGGGGAGGUCUUUUGGCGGCCGCUGGCGGACUUGUCCUGGCGGCCGCUGGGGAGCUGCGCGAGCUGCGCUGGCUCUGCUCCCCAGCACGCAGCUGAAUGAGACCGGCGCCGGAAUAUGACGUCAUAUUCCGGCGCCAGUCUCAUUCAGCAGCGCGCGAGGGCGGGAGGGCACUAACACAGGAAGCACCUCUAGUGACCGUCUGAGUGACUGUCACUAGCAGUGUCACUUUGAAGCAAUGUAAACACUGCCUUUUGUCUGAAAAGUCAGUGUUUACGUUGAAAAGCCUGUAGGGACAUGCUAUAGACACCAGUACCACCACAUUAAGCUGUGUGUGUGCGUCUGCUAGUGAGUGAGCUUGCUUGCAUGCGUGUGCCUGCUAGUGAGUGAGCUUGUGUUUUUAUGUCAAUGAGCUGAUGUAUAUCAGUAAGAUUGUUUGUCUAUGAGGCUGUGUAUCAAUGAGUUUGUGUGUGUCACUGAAAUGUCAGUGAAAUUGCCUGUGUCUGCAUGUGCGUAUGCUUACUGUAUAAUUAAACGUUUUACCCUGAAAGGACCAAUAUUUUAUAUUAGAAAAAGCAAUAUAUAAAUAUAUAUAUGUAUAUAUAUAUAUAUAUUACUCAAUCAUCUGUCCUGGAAAGACAUAGCCUUACAUAUUGCACGCGACAAUAUAUGGCGCAGUGACUUAUGGGGCUGGCACAAAUUUUUUUUCCUGGGCUGCUUUGUAUCCCCAGUCCGGCCCUGCUGUGACUGGUAGGUUCUCUAAAAUGGCACACUUUAUUCCUCUUAAAAAACUACCUUCUGCGGUUCAGUUGGCUCAGGUAUUUGCCAAAGAGGUGUUCCGCUUGCAUGGUAUACCACAGGAUAUCGUAUCCGUCAGGGGUCCUCAACUUGUCUCUCGGUUUUGGAGGGGCUUUUGUGCUGAGAUGGGGAUCUCCUUGUCAUUAACGUCCUCCUAUCAUCCACAAUCUAAUGGAGCUGCCGAACGGGCAAAUCAAUCUGUGGAGUUAUAUUCACGCUGCUUCACGAAUGCGCACCAGGACAACUGGUCUCACCUCCUUCCCUGGGCUGAAUUCGCCAGGAACACCGUGACUCAUUCGUCCACUGGCUUAAGUCCUUUUAUGGUUGCUUAUGGGUUCCAACCCUCUGUCCUUCCCGGCGUGUUCUCCGACAAGGGAAUGCCCGCUUUGGACGAGCACCUCACCUCCUUACGGAAGAUGUGGGAUCAGGUCCAUGCUACUCUUUCUCGUGUGGCUGCUACUCAGAAGAGAUUUGCUGAUCGUCGUAGGGGUGCAACUCCUUCUUAUGCCCCGGGUGAUAGGAAUUGGUUGUCCUCUAAGAAUCUCCGCCUCAGGGUCCCCUCGAUGAAAUUCGCGCCCAGGUUUCUUGGCCCCUAUAAGGUAUUGCGUAAGGUGAAUCCUGUGUCCUACUCCCUGGCCUUGCCACCUAACACUUUUCACACCUCCCUUUUGAAGCCCCUGCUCUGUAAUCGAUUCUCUGGUCCUCUCAGGCGUCCGGAUUCCCUCCGCGCUGUCUCCAGUGACAUGUACGAAGUGGCUGCUCUACUUGAUUCUCGUUUUUCUCGGAGUCUGUUGCAGUAUCUGGUGGAUUACGGCCCUGAGGAGCGGUCUUGGGUUUCUGCCUCUGACUUGAAUGCGCCCUCUUUGAUCCUCUCCUUUCAUGCGCGGUUUCCUUUGAAGCCUUUGGCUUCCCGCCCAUCGGGCGGUCCUCGAGGGGGGUUAUGUCAGGGGUCCGCGGGCGGCUGUGAGGGGAGGCUGCACGCCACUUGUCUCCCCUCCUCCUACCUGUCGGCGAGCGGCGUCUCCCCUCCACUGCGCGCCGCUCGCGUCCUCCUCCACGCCUCCCAGCGGCAGCAUGUAUAACGCUGCACUCUGGGAGGUCGCACAUUUAUGCAAAGGCCGGGGUCACUCACGUGACCCGGCGUUAAAGCAACACUACCACAAUCACAGUGGGAGGCGUAGAUAUCUCCCACGUGUGAUUGUUAAUUCUGAUUGGAAGUUAUCCAAUCAGAAUGAAGCAAAGGAUAUCUAUACUUACCUUUCCUGUCUCUCAGUGCCCUGUUGUGGUCUUGUGAUACCUGUAUUGCAGUUUGCUCGUGUUUCUCUCUGGUUACUGAUUAUUUGGCUCGUUAUUCCGAUUUUCCAGUAUUCUCCACUCCUUUGACCUCGGCUUGUUUCUCGUUCUCCCGUUUUCUGGCUCCCUUUACUUGGCUUGUCUCCUGACUAUUCUUAGUGCGCUUAGCCCGGCCACACUAAGGACCUGUUAGCGUGUUAGGUUCCAGAAUCAUGACAGCUAUAUUCUCAUUGUAGGCGCUACCAAAAGGUUGCACAGGUAGCUGCAUUGGGGCACACCAGCUCAGGGGGCACAAAUGUCCAGGUGGCAGGAGGGAACCACACAGCGCUCCUCUCCUGCUGGUCACUUCUUGUAGCGUAGCCAUGCUCUAGUACCUCCAUGCCAUAUGCAAAAGCUGACAAUGGAGAUAAAUUAAGUUAUGAAGAGAAGGCAUUUUACCAGCGAAUCGGAGCCUGCACGCUCUACAAGUUCAGCUACCAGACAACCAGGGAAACCCCCUUCUGCCCCAUAUUCUGGACCGGUGUCUUAGGUAGCACCGGCUUGUGGGAUGGUGCAAAUGCCCAGGUGACAGGUAGGAGGGUAGCACACAGUGUUCCUCUCCUGCCGUUAACUUUUUGUAGCAUGACUGAGCUCCAGUACUUCCGUGCGGCCCAGCAUGCUUCUGUGGUGCAUGCCACAGGCAGAACGGAAGUGAUAAUGUCAUAUCCCUGCUCUCUGUGUGUAGCACACUACGCAUUUGGCGCCUAGUGAUGGGGCUAAGUUUCUGAAUUGGAUCCACAGAUCAGAGCCAGACAGCAUGCCAGACUGCAUGCUUCCCAGACAGAGGCGUAACUAGAAACCACGGGGCCCCGGUGCGAAAACGGCCCUGGGCCCCCCAUACGUCUAUCCCAUACCCCCCCAUACACCCUCCUCUACACAUGCAGACAAACAGAUACACAAGCACACACACACACGACACACAUACAGGCACACAUGCAUGCAACACACACAUACAUACAAGCACACACACACAUACAGGGAGUGCAGAAUUAUUGGGCAAAUGAGUAUUUUGACCACAUCAUCCUCUUUAUGCAUGUUGUCUUACUCCAAGCUGUAUAGGCUCGAAAGCCUACUACCAAUUAAGCAUAUUAGGUGAUGUGCAUCUCUGUAAUGAGAAGGGGUGUGGUCUAAUGACAUCAACACCCUAUAUCAGGUGUGCAUAAUUAUUAGGCAACUUCCUUUCCUUUGGCAAAAUGGGUCAAAAGAAGGACUUGACAGGCUCAGAAAAGUCAAAAAUAGUGAGAUAUCUUGCAGAGGGAUGCAGCACUCUUAAAAUUGCAAAGCUUCUGAAGCGUGAUCAUCGAACAAUCAAGCGUUUCAUUCAAAAUAGUCAACAGGGUCGCAAGAAGCGUGUGGAAAAACCAAGGCGCAAAAUAACUGCCCAUGAACUGAGAAAAGUCAAGCGUGCAGCUGCCACGAUGCCACUUGCCACCAGUUUGGCCAUAUUUCAGAGCUGCAACAUCACUGGAGUGCCCAAAAGCACAAGGUGUGCAAUACUCAGAGACAUGGCCAAGGUAAGAAAGGCUGAAAGACGACCACCACUGAACAAGACACACAAGCUGAAACGUCAAGACUGGGCCAAGAAAUAUCUCAAGACUGAUUUUUCUAAGGUUUUAUGGACUGAUGAAAUGAGAGUGAGUCUUGAUGGGCCAGAUGGAUGGGCCCGUGGCUGGAUUGGUAAAGGGCAGAGAGCUCCAGUCCGACUCAGACGCCAGCAAGGUGGAGGUGGAGUACUGGUUUGGGCUGGUAUCAUCAAAGAUGAGCUUGUGGGGCCUUUUCGGGUUGAGGAUGGAGUCAAGCUCAACUCCCAGUCCUACUGCCAGUUCCUGGAAGACACCUUCUUCAAGCAGUGGUACAGGAAGAAGUCUGCAUCCUUCAAGAAAAACAUGAUUUUCAUGCAGGACAAUGCUCCAUCACACGCGUCCAAGUACUCCACAGCGUGGCUGGCAAGAAAGGGUAUAAAAGAAGAAAAUCUAAUGACAUGGCCUCCUUGUUCACCUGAUCUGAACCCCAUUGAGAACAUGUGGUCCAUCAUCAAAUGUGAGAUUUACAAGGAGGGAAAACAGUACACCUCUCUGAACAGUGUCUGGGAGGCUGUGGUUGCUGCUGCACGCAAUGUUGAUGGUGAACAGAUCAAAACACUGACAGAAUCCAUGGAUGGCAGGCUUUUGAGUGUCCUUGCAAAGAAAGGUGGCUAUAUUGGUCACUGAUUUGUUUUUGUUUUGUUUUUGAAUGUCAGAAAUGUAUAUUUGUGAAUGUUGAGAUGUUAUAUUGGUUUCACUGGUAAUAAUAAAUAAUUGAAAUGGGUAUAUAUUUGUUUUUUGUUAAGUUGCCUAAUAAUUAUGCACAGUAAUAGUCACCUGCACACACAGAUAUCCCCCUAACAUAGCUAUAACUAAAAACAAACUAAAAACUACUUCCAAAAAUAUUCAGCUUUGAUAUUAAUAGUUUUUUGGGUUCAUUGAGAACAUGGUUGUUGUUCAAUAAUAAAAUUAAUCCUCAAAAAUACAACUUGCCUAAUAAUUCUGCACUCCCUGUACAGACACACAUACACACAGACACUGGUGGAACUAAUGCGGUUGCAGCUAAGAGGCGUAAGUCACAAAGGGGCAAAAAGGGUAAAGACAUUCAAGAGUAUGAAUAUGAAAAACUAAAGGGAGUAAGAAACUCAAAUGGGUGUUACGAGACACAGAGGCAAAGAUAUUUUUUGGCGCGGGGAGCAAGAUGCAUCUUUGUCUUUGUAACCAAAAGUCCUUGCACCGGCCAUGUAUGUUGUCACUGUGUUAUUAACCAGAGCACAUUUUGUGAAGUUACUCUUCCUAUACACAUCCCUGUCUUCCUACACACAUCCCUGUACAAAGUUUUUAAAUUAUAUUUAUCUCCCAGUAAGUAAAAUAGAGGGACAUUGGGGACUUACUGAAUAUUCAUGGCAAUUGCUGCAUUCAGUCUGACAGUCACUAGAGGUAUAAUCUCUGGCAAUUGUAAACUUAGCCAUUUCUUAGAUUUGCCAAUGUUUUGCAUUGUCAAUAAAAAGGGACAGUAUCUAUGCAUCAAAACCACUACAUAGGUAAGGGCUUUUUUUAAGACAGUUGGGUUUUUUUUUUUUUGUCCUUACGUUAUCCCUUUAAUCCUUUGUGUAUUAGGAAAGUCAUAUACCAUCUGAUGAAUUAUGCAUCAUCAGAGUACACUGGCAUUAAACAGCUUAAAAUGACCUUAUAAGAGACCAGCUUUGUCUUCGUCCUUUAUUCUGCCUUUAAAGUUCGGCUCCUAGUAAAGAGAAACAGAAAUCAACAUUAAAGGGUUUUUUUCAAAAGCUUCUAGAUAGUUAACACAAGGAAAUAAUUAACUUUAUCGCGGAGCCGCAUGGCUCCGAUUUUAUGGGCAUUUCAUAAACACAGGCAGCUUGCAAGCUACUGGGGAAGCCAUAUAGUAAACAAUGUCAAUUCUCUGAAAAAUCAAGAACAGUUACAAUAAUCCGGUAAUGCCGUAAUAAAAGCAGCGACGCUGCUUAUUACAUUGCAGAUUCUAAGAACCUGAACAUAAAUACAGGUACUCAUAUGGCUGAUAGCACUUAUCAUAGGGUGCAUGAUCAGUAGAGAGUAAUGUGUAAACAUAUCAGCCAACAUAUAGGACUUGACUUUUUAUAACACAUUUUUUGCAUUAAGAAGGGGCCAGCGCUACAACCUAAUAUACUUUAAAAUUCAGUUUCAAAUGAAUCCCGAUUUGUCUGAAUUCUGCGCACACCUAGAAUAUUUCCAAAUCUGGUAAUACUGUUACAUUUCGAUCAGCCACAUGGUGUGAAAUGGUGUGUUUUAGGUACGUGUUUCACGAGUAACACAUUUUCACUCAUUAAUUUCCCAUGCAGCAGACCUUCUCGGAGAAACAAUUUAGGUUAUUCAGGAUGUAAACCCUCUGUAAAGUAAAAUAAAUUAAUGAAAACACUCUAGUUAACAAAGUUAUUAGAUGUUUACCUUCAAAUUGCAGGAAGCUAUUUUGCUAAGUACAGAUAAUUUCAGCUUAAGUACCAUCAUCCUUUAGAUAGAAAGACUUGAUUUACACGUUGAGUAUGUUCCCAUUACCUUGGGGUCUUUUUUUUUAAGAACGAACAAUGUUCAAAAGGAACUGACUGGAUUUACUUUAUAGUAUUAUUUUAAGGGGUGUGCUGAAAGUUACUGGAUUGAAUAGUUGUACACAUUCAGAAAUUGCACUCUACAGUGUUGUACACAGUAAAUUGUACCAUAUAAAACUGUACACAUUUAAAUAUUGAAAUUUCAGUUAAUGUGAACAUAAAGGCUAAAAUCAGGUCAUAUCCCUUUUAAUAAAAUCAAUAAGAUGUUGUAGCCAAUAGUCUUCAAGAAAAAUCAAUAAUAAACUGAUAAUGAAAAAAGGGGCCAGUGCUUUGGUUGCCUAAUACUACUGUAAUUAAGUCAGUCCAUGAAAUAUUGAUUAAAGCAGUUUGGUUUCUUACUUAGUGCUUAGUAAACACAAGGACAGAAAUGGACAUAAUAAAGUAGAAGUAAAAAGUUUAAAGCAUAAUGGAUGGGGGGGGGGGCGAAAGGGGGUGCCCUGUGUGACAUGGAGUAAGGGGUGCACAGAGCAGACUUCUGUCUACCGGUGCCCAGUACAAUGCUGUGCUGUGAGUAUAUGCAGUGUGGGCAACGUGCUCUGAACUGUUGUUAGAGCUUGAAUUUGAUGUCACCCCAGCCCCGGCUUCGAUACAGAGCAGCAGUGAGCUGUGAAAGUAGGCCGAACCCAGCAACACUAGAGAUGCUCCAGCUCUUGCUUUAAACAGUAAGGCAGAGUGGACAUUGUUGUUAAAAUGUAAAAAUAAUAAAAUACUAAAUUAAGUGUGUAUGUAUUAAUGUAUUUGUUGGUCGAUGAAUGUGUUACUGUAUAUCUGUCAGGGAUCCGCAGGCGGCUAGGAGGGGAGGCUGCACGCCACUUGAAGCACUCACCCUCAGUCCAUCGCCGCCCGCGGUCUCCCCUCUGCUUACCUGUCGGCGAGCGGCGUCUCCUCUCUGCCGCUCGCCGCCCGCGUCCUCCACGCCCCCCAGCGGCAGCAUGUAUAAUGCUGCACGCUGGGAGGUCAAUGAAUUAUGUAAACGCCGGGGUCACUUGAGUGACCCGGCGUUAAAGGAACAGUACCACAAUCACAGUGGGAGGUAUAGAUAUCCCCCACGUGUGAUUGUUAAUUCUGAUUGGAAGUUAUCCAAUCAGAAUUAAACCUAGGGUAUUUAUACUUACCUUUCCUGUCCCUCAGUGCCCUGUUGUGGUCUUGUGUUACCUGUAGCAAAGUGUUCUUGUCUUGCUCUCUGGUUACCGAUUACUUGGCUCGUUAUUCUGAUUAUCCUGUCUUCUCCACUCCUUUGACCUCGGCUUGUUUCUCGUUCUCCCGUUUUCUGGCUCCCUUUACUUGGCUUGUCUCCUGACCAUUCUUAGUGUGCUUAGCCCGGCCACACGGUUCGGUUCAAUUUCUGCAGUAAAGUGCCAUUCAUUCUCUCUCUGUAUUGGUAUGUACAUAUUAGACAUGGAGAUUUGUUUCGGUCUGAAUUGCAAGUUGUCUACAUUUGAGCAAAUCAGGUGAUUGGUUGAAUUCCAGAACUCUGAGCUGAAAUGUAACUAAAUCUAAAUCAAAGUUUUCUGUCAAAAUUAAUACUGAUGCUGGUGCGGGGCCUUACUGCUAUGGUGGAGAGAUGUAUUUUGCUUGAGCUCGUCUCCUAUACUGGCAAUAAAAGCUAUUUUCUGACUCUUCAAGACCGAUUUUAAUUCAUGCUGAGUGAUUUACUUGAUUCUCGACGUGCUGAAGCAUGCUGUUGAGGUCAGUGAUCUGACUGGAGCUUGUUUUCUUCACAGAUUGGACCCUGCGGCCUAUGGAGAAGGUGUGAGAAGUGGCCGAUCUCCCAGGCAGGAAUCGCCCAGCAACAUACAGCACUGUGCAUAUGCCCCGUUACUCCCUCCCCCCAUUUGGACCGGCG